AGUGAACGCUGGCGGUAGGCCUAACACAUGCAAGUCGAACGACAGCACAGUAAGAGCUUGCUCUUACGGGUGGCGAGUGGCGGACGGGUGAGGAAUACAUCGGAAUCUACUUUUUCGUGGGGGAUGACGUAGGGAAACUUACGCUACUACCGCAUACGACCUACGGGUGAAAGCAGUGGAUCUUCGGACCUUUCGCGAUUGAAUGAGCCGAUGUCGGAUUAGCUAGUUGGCGGGGUAAAGGCCCACCAAGGCGACGAUCCGUAGCUGGUCUGAGAGGAUGAUCAGCCACACUGGAACUGAGACACGGUCCAGACUCCUACGGGAGGCAGCAGUGGGGAAUAUUGGACAAUGGGCGCAAGCCUGAUCCAGCCAUGCCGCGUGGGUGAAGAAGGUCUUCGGGUUGUAAAGCCCUUUUGUUGGGAAAGAAAAGCAGCAGGUUAAUCCCCCGCUGUUCUGACGGUACCCAAAGAAUAAGCACCGGCUAACUUCGCG
rnacentral:rRNA from 1 species